GGGUCUUUAGGCUUGACAGGGCUUAGGAUAAAGGGGAAGGGGGUCUUAGGCCUGAUUAUAGUCUUGAGCCUGGGGCGAGGGGGGGGGAUCCUGGGCCUGACUGUGGUCUCGAGCCUAAGAUGGGGGGGAGAGAGGUGGGGUCCGGAGCCUAAGCGUGGUCUCGGGCCUAAGAUUGGGGUGAGAGAGGUAAGGUCCUGAGCCUAAGCGUGGUCUCGGGCCUAAGAUUGGGGUGAGAGAGGUAAGGUCCUGAGCCUAAGCGUGGUCUCGGGCCUAAGAUUGGGGUGAGAGAGGUAAGGUCCUGAGCCUAAGCGUGGUCUCGGGCCUAAGAUUGGGGUGAGAGAGGUAAGGUCCUGAGCCUAAGCGUGGUCUCGGGCCUAAGAUUGGGGUGAGAGAGGUAAGGUCCUGAGCCUAAGCGUGGUCUCGGGCCUAAGAUUGGGGUGAGAGAGGUAAGGUCCUGAGCCUAAGCGUGGUCUCGGGCCUAAGAUUGGGGUGAGAGAGGUAAGGUCCUGAGCCUAAGCGUGGUCUCGGGCCUAAGAUUGGGGUGAGAGAGGUAAGGUCCUGAGCCUAAGCGUGGUCUCGGGCCUAAGAUUGGGGUGAGAGAGGUAAGGUCCUGAGCCUAAGCGUGGUCUCGGGCCUAAGAUUGGGGUGAGAGAGGUAAGGUCCUGAGCCUAAGCGUGGUCUCGGGCCUAAGAUUGGGGUGAGAGAGGUAAGGUCCUGAGCCUAAGCGUGGUCUCGGGCCUAAGAUUGGGGUGAGAGAGGUAAGGUCCUGAGCCUAAGCGUGGUCUCGGGCCUAAGAUUGGGGUGAGAGAGGUAAGGUCCUGAGCCUAAGCGUGGUCUCGGGCCUAAGAUUGGGGUGAGAGAGGUAAGGUCCUGAGCCUAAGCGUGGUCUCGGGCCUAAGAUUGGGGUGAGAGAGGUAAGGUCCUGAGCCUAAGCGUGGUCUCGGGCCUAAGAUUGGGGUGAGAGAGGUAAGGUCCUGAGCCUAAGCGUGGUCUCGGGCCUAAGAUUGGGGUGAGAGAGGUAAGGUCCUGAGCCUAAGCGUGGUCUCGGGCCUAAGAUUGGGGUGAGAGAGGUAAGGUCCUGAGCCUAAGCGUGGUCUCGGGCCUAAGAUUGGGGUGAGAGAGGUAAGGUCCUGAGCCUAAGCGUGGUCUCGUGGGAGUUCCUAGCCUUGAGUUCAGUCUCGGGAGAUGGGGAGGGAAAAGGGGGAAGGGGGGUCUUAGCCCUGAUUGUAGUCUUGAGCCUGGGGCGAGGGGGUGGGAUCCUGGGCCUGACAGUGGUCUCGGGCCUAAGAUUGGGGUGAGAGAGGUAAGGUCCUGAGCCUAAGCGUGGUAUCGUGCCUAGGUGCAGGGGUGGGGGUUCUUAGGCUUGACAGUGGGAUCUUGGGCCUAAGAUGAGGUUGAGAGAGGUGGGGUCCUGAGCUUAAGCGUGGUCUCGUGGGUGUUCCUAGCCUUGAGUUUGGUCUCGGGCUUAGGAUAGAGGGGAAGGAGGUCUUAGGCUUGAUUAUAAUCUUGAGCCUGGGGCGAGGAGGUGGGAUCCUGGGGCUGACAGUGGUCUCGGGCCUAAGAUUGGGGUAAAAAAGGUAGGAUCCUGAGCCUAAGCGUGGUAUCGUGCCUAGGUGCAGGGGUGGGGCGUCGAGCCUGAGCAUAGUCUCGUGCCUGGGGCGAGGGAUGGACGGGUCCUGGGCAUGGUCUUGGGCAAGGGAUGGAUGGGUCCUUGGCCUGAGUAUGGUCG
rnacentral:lncRNA from 1 species